AGUUUUUUGAGAAACCACUAUAGCGGUUUGUCUGAUGUUAUUUUAGCGGUUUGUCUGAUGUUAUUUAGCGGUUUGUUUGAUGUUACUAGCGCGCUAAUGAGAAACCAUUAAACAGCGUUUCGUGGGGAAAUAUAUUUUCAAGUAUGUCGCUUAUUUUAUGAUUACAAGCGAAUUUAUUAUUUUUAAUUAGGUUAUUUAUUGAUUAACUAUAAUUUGCUGGUAAUUCAACUGUUUACCAAUUCACCACGUUUUUUACAAUAUUUUGGAAUUAUUGGAAUGAAAAAAGUGAAAAGUGGUGCCACUAAAAGAAGAGAAAAAGCUGCAGCCAUGGAGAAAAUCAUGAAAUACCCCAAACUAACACAUUUUUUAAAACCAGCAGUUCCGGCUAGCAGUGUUUUGAUAUCAACAAAUAAUUUUGAUUGUGAUUAUUUGGGUACUAGACUAGAGUCAGAUGGGUUAAUCUAUGACUCAAAUGCAAAGUCAAAUGUAAGUCAUGGUUUAAUCUGUGAAUCAAAUGCCACAACAAAUCCACUAAUAUUUCUCAGUGAUGAUCCUUCUGAUUGGCCUGAUAAUGUUUCUGACGCUCAGAAGUGUGAUGUUGUUAAACGAGGUUUAAAAAAGAUUGAAAUCGACUUUCCAAAAAAUUCAGAAAGAAGACGAUUUUCCAUGAGUUAUUAUAACCGCAAAAUGAAAAAUGGAGAAAUCUUUGAAAGAUCAUGGCUUAUAUAUUCUUUAAAUAGUGAUAAAGUGUUUUGUUUCUGUUGCAAACUUUUUGGGAUAACUUCUUCACCCUUUCGAAAAGGAAUAAACACGUGGGAAGGCUUAUCAAAAAAACUUAAAGAACACGAAACAUGCAGUGCGCAUUUAAAAUGCUUUGAACAUUGGAUGACAUUACGAAAAGGCAUAGCAAAUCAAGCUACCAUAGACGAGCAACAACAAAAGUUGCUUCAUAAAGAGCGGGUAUUUUGGAGAUCUGUGUUGGAAAGGAUACUGGACAUUACGUUAUUUCUUUCAUCAAGAAAUCUUGCAUUCCGUGGAUCAGACACGGCAAUUGGUUCAAAGAGCAAUGGAAAUUUUUUUGGGGUGUUUGAAUUACUGGCUAAGUACGAUGCCGUCUUUAAGGAGCUUCUGUUAAGAAUUCAGGACAAAAAAACAAACGCUCACUAUUUGAGCAAUGACACACAGAACGAGUUGAUUAGAUGUUUAGCGCAGGAGAUUGAAUCAGAAAACCUUUCUAUGGUAAAAAAAGCAAAAUACUAUUCGGUUAUUUUAGAUUGCACGCCAGACGUUUCGCACAAAGAACAAAUGAGCAUAAUUUUAAGAUCAGUGACAUGUACUUCUAGAGUUGGUAUUAACAUUUCCGAAAAUUUCUUUGGAUAUCUCACAGUAAAUGAUACCACUGGAAAAGGGCUUUUGGAUGCCUUUUUAAAUCAGGCAAAAAAAUGGGAUCUAAAUAUUCUUGAUUGUCGAGGCCAAUCUUAUGAUAAUGGUGCUAACAUGAAAGGAAAACUUAAAGGUGUUCAAGCCAGGCUUCUAGAAAUGAACCCAAAGGCUAUAUAUGUUCCAUGUGCAAAUCAUUCACUGAAUCUUGUUAUUGUUGAUGGUGCACUGUCAUCUAUCAGUGCAAUAUCUUUUUUUGGAGUUCUUACAAGAUUGUAUACCCUCUUUUCAUCGUCUCCUCCUCGAUGGGAAAUUUUAAAAUCGUGUGUGGAAAUUUCUGUCAAACCACAAUCAGAUACAAGAUGGGAAAGUAAAAUAAACUGUGUUAAACCACUUCGCUAUUAUCUGAAAGAAAUUUUAUAGGGCACUCGACAGAUUGGAAAAACUUUCCUUUGAAAAGAAAGAUGGGGCAACAGCCACAGAAGUACGAUCUCUGAUUGAAUAUAUUAGGACAUGGCCUUUCUUAUUAUCAAUCAUUAUUUGGUAUGACGUUUUAUUUCAAAUCAACAAAUCAAGUAAGCUUCUUCAGUCUUCUACAACCUCUCUUGACAUAUUGGCUAGUGAAAUAAAAGCAACAAAUACAUUUCUUCAUGAGUAUCGUGAGACUGGAUUUACUGACGCACAUAUUAAAGCACAAGAAAUUGCAGAGGAAUUGGGCAUUGAAAAGAUUUUUCCAACAGUGCGCUUACGAAAAAAAAAAAAAAUGUAUUCAUACGAGUGUGCUGAUGAAACUCGGCAACCUGAGCAUCAGUAUAAAGCAGAUUUCUUUUUGCCACUCAUUGACAUGUCAAUUGCAUCAGUAAAGGAGCGUUUUGAACAGGUCAGUAUCUUCACAAAUCUUUUUGACUUUCUUUACCGGUCUGAGAGUCUUAUCAAAGCCUGUAAUGAAAAUUUUCUUACUGUAUUUUGCACAAAUUUGCAAACGAAGCUCGGGGAUAUAGAUUCUGAGGAUUUGGAAAUGGAGUUGAAACGAUUUGUCAUAGUUGUACAAGAGGACAAAAAUACAAACCUGAAAUCUGCAUAUGACUUCCUUAACUACGUCUACAAAGAAGAGCUGCAGGAAACUUAUCCUAAUCUAGUUAUUGCGUUACGCAUCAUUCUUACUUCUCCAGUAACUGUUGCAAGUGCAGAACGUAGCUUUAGCAAGUUAAAAUUAAUUAAAACAUUUCAUAGGUCAACAAUGGUCGAUGAACGUUUGUCUUCCCUAGCAAUGCUGUCAAUCGAGAACGAGGUAGCAAGGAAAUUAAGUUAUGAAGGCUUAAUAAAUAAGUUUGCAAGUAUGAAAACACGACGCAAACCUUUUUUUUGACCUGUGAAUGCCUAAUACAUUCACAGUAGUCAAAGAAACUUUUUGUUUUAAACUCUUAAUAAAUAUAACAAUUAUAAAAUAUACUUAAUUAAAUUAAAGGGUUAA
rnacentral:misc_RNA from 1 species